UAAACACACUGGACCCUGCUAUGAAAGAAAACAUUUGCAGUAGAGACACACUGUUUAAGAAGAGUGGAAUAAUGGCACCCAAGAGAAUGUUAUAAGAAAAGAAGAUGCUAAACAGCAUAGAGAUAACUCUAAACAUAAGCAUGGAAAACCUAAGGAAAGAUACACAGAAAAAGAACAUUUAUAAAAGUCUUUCUGGAAGUACAAGAGA